rnacentral:rRNA from 1 species
AGAGUUUGAUCAUGGCUCAGGAUGAACGCUGGCGGUAUGCUUAACACAUGCAAGUCGAACGGUGUUGAAAGACACAGUGGCGGACGGGUGAGUAACGCGUGAGAAUCUGGCUUCAGGUCGGGGACAACCACUGGAAACGGUGGCUAAUACCGGAUGUGCCGUUGGGUGAAAGAUAUAUUGCCUGAAGAUGAGCUCGCGUCUGAUUAGCUAGUAGGUGGGGUAAGAGCCUACCUAGGCGACGAUCAGUAGCUGGUCUGAGAGGAUGAUCAGCCACACUGGGACUGAGACACGGCCCAGACUCCUACGGGAGGCAGCAGUGGGGAAUUUUCCGCAAUGGGCGAAAGCCUGACGGAGCAAUACCGCGUGAGGGAGGAAGGCUCUUGGGUUGUAAACCUCUUUUCUCAAGGAAGAAUUUCUGACGGUACUUGAGGAAUCAGCAUCGGCUAACUCCGUGCCAGCAGCCGCGGUAAUACGGAGGAUGCAAGCGUUAUCCGGAAUGAUUGGGCGUAAAGCGUCCGCAGGUGGUGAUGAAAGUCUGCUGUCAAAGCGUCUAGCCCAACUAGAUACAGGCAGUGGAAACUACAUGACUAGAGUGCGUUCGGGGCAGAGGGAAUUCCUGGUGUAGCGGUGAAAUGCGUAGAGAUCAGGAAGAACACCGGUGGCGAAAGCGCUCUGCUAGGCCGCAACUGACACUGAGGGACGAAAGCUAGGGGAGCGAAUGGGAUUAGAUACCCCAGUAGUCCUAGCCGUAAACGAUGGAUACUAGGCGUGGCUUGUAUCGACCCGAGCCGUGCCGUAGCUAACGCGUUAAGUAUCCCGCCUGGGGAGUACGCACGCAAGUGUGAAACUCAAAGGAAUUGACGG